UUGGAUCUCCCAAGUUUGUAUGAAUUUGGUUAUGAUGUACAAAAAACUAAAAAUAUUCAAAUAGCGAAUGUAUUUGAAAAUGAUAUAGAUAUUUGAACCAAAAAUAAUCAUAUUAUUUGAAUACAAUUAGCUAUAUGGAGAUUUAUCUAAAAUAUAUAGCACUAAUUAUGAAAAAAAAAUAUCAAUGUAUAAAUACUUAAAAACUAAUACAUUCGCGGACGUGCGAGUCAAUCUCUAGUUCUUCAUUAAGUGGCAAAAAUUUUUUAUACCUUUGUUCUUUAUAUAUAUAAUAAAUAAAUAUUUAAACAAAUAAAAUAUCUAAAAAAAAAAAAAAAAAAAUUUCAACCUUUUUUCGUAUUAUACUAUUUCGAAAUUCAAACCCAAAACUCUAAAACUCAACUCUAAACCCUAAACCAUCAAUUUUAAACCCUAUUUUUUUUUUUGAAAUACGAACCCUAAACCCUGAAAUAUUAACUCUAAUAAACCCCAAAAUAUCAUCUCUAAACCCUAAACCCUAAACCUUCGACUCUAAACCUAAAAACAUAAACUAUAAACCCUAAACCCUAAACAAUAACUCUAAACCCUAAACUAUCAACACUAAACCCUAAGCUAUCAACAGUAAACCCUAAACCCACAAAUUAAACUCUAAACCCUAAAAAUUAACCCUAAACCCUAAAAUAUCAACUUUAAACCCUAAAUCCUAAAACAUAAACUCUAAACCCUAG
rnacentral:lncRNA from 1 species